UAGCAACUUAGUCCUCAACCUUUUUCUUUCCCCAGUCUAACUCCGGAUUUCGUUCUUCUUGAUCUACAAUAGCAAAUUUAGCUUAUUUAAUACUCACAUUCAUCAAAACAGUCCUUGACGAGAACUUUAGAAAAAUUAUGAUUUUGCCCUUAAACUUUUUUAUAUUUACAUUUUAGCCCCAAAGCUCGAAAAUUAAACUUCAUCCAUUAUUCUUAUGUUUUAUGACAUGCUAAACAUCUUUCCCUUCUAUGGAAACAUCAAAUUCCCACUCUAACAUUUACUUAUGAAUAUCAUGUAUUUUUACCGAUUAUAUCGUUUUACUCGUUUUCACUUAAAAUUGCCUAGCAAAAGUUGUUUAACAUAAUUUCAGGCUUCAUAUUAUACCAUAAAACAUCAAAAUAAACUCAUUUCACCUAUGGGUAUUUUUCCAAAUAUGAACCCUAACAUGAAUUAAUGGUAGAAUAAACUAAAUCGAGCUACGAGGACUCCAAAAACGUUAAAAAAACAUUAAAAACGGGGCUUGGAAGGACUUACUAUGAGCUUGAGAAAGUGAAGAAACCCUAGCUAUGGUGUCCCUUGAAGUUUUGGCCCUAUGGAGAAGAUGAGCACAUUUUGCCAUCUUUUUCCCUUUUAAUUCUUUUUAUUACCAAAUGACUAAAAUGCCCUUCAUUAAAACUUUAGUUAUUUUUAUCUAUGCAUGCCCAUUUUUGUCCAUGAAAAUCUAAUGGUCUAAUCAUCAUUAAAGGACCUCUGCUUCGAUUAUGCACUUCAAUUAAAUCAUGUAUCAUCUAAAGCUCAUAUUUACCCACUUUUGCAAUUAAACCCUAAUAUGCAAUUCAGACAAGCAACCGCUAAAAUUUCUUAUCGGUAUUCUAACACAUGCAUCCAAUCAAUCGAUAAAUCAUAAAAAUUAAUCAUAAUAAACUUUUCUAUCUCAAAUUCGUGGUUCCGCAACCACUGUUCCGUUUAGGCUCUAUUUCGAGAUGUUACAUGACAGUAUCGAUGCGACUUUGCAACAAAUCUGUCAACACCUCCACAUAUCCUAUUCCGCACCGGCAACUCACGAUAUCGAUGCCUCUGACGAUAAGGAUCAUUGAGUUUAUUUAUUUUCCUUUUAGUUUUAGUUUUCGUUUUAGUUUUAUUUUUAUCUUUAUUUUUAUUUUUAGCUAUUUUAUUUUUAUGUUCUUAAACUUCUUUCGUUUAUUAUCUUUUGAACUAUAUUUUUAGUCUUUAUGGUUGUUUCUAAUUGAGUUGUGACAUCUUAAUCUUUUUCACUAUUUGUGUUUAUUUUCUUAUUAGUUUGCACAGAAUCAUGCACUUCACUUUCAAUUGCCUACAAUUCCUGUUUUUACUAUUCUGGCAAUUUCAUCCAUAUUUAGGGCAGUUUCAGUUUUCUCCCUCUCUUAUGAUAUUCUGCUUAUUCUAAUUUUAUAUCUAUUUGUACAUUGAGGACAAUGUACAUCUUAAGUGUGGGGAGGUUAUUCCUAUAAUUAUUAGAAAAUCCCUAAAUUAUUUCUUGUAUUUAAAUAAAUUUCUCACACUUCAAUUAGAAUGAUUUUUUUGUUGAUUUGGGAUUUUGUUGAUGUGUUUUGGAUUAAUUUGUAGAUAUUUGUGCAUUGAUUAAUUUAAAUUUUAAAACAUAAGAGAAUCAAGCAUGAUAAGUUACUUUUCAGAAUAGAAAAUUUUAUGUUGUUUCCCUAAAUUGAAGUAUUAUCUUGAAGUUUGAGAUUUGCAAGUUUGACAUCAAAACCAUGAUUUUUUGUGAGAUUUUGAGCCUUUAGAGCAUAUAUUUUUCGUGCUCAUUCUAUUAUUGGUUAUGAAUGUGCCAACUUGAUUUUUUAUUCUAGAACUUACUUCGAUUAUGCAUGUCGAGACCACACCUUUGAUUUGAUAUACUAAGAUGAUAAAGGCACUUAGGUUUUAACCCACUUAUCCCAUAAAAAGCUUACCUUUCUAAUUAACCCUUAGUGAACCCCUUUGAGCCUAACACACUGUUUCUUGAUUAACCUGUUAAUAUUAACCCAUAACCCAUUUUUUGUUCAUUGUGACUUUUUUCCAUUUUAUUAACUCCCUUUUCUGUCGAUAUUUGAUUUGGUUAGUUUCCUAACUGUGCUCUUCUGUUUGAUUUGCUGAAUUAUUUCUGAUUGUUCCAGAUAAAAAAAUUGAAAAGCAGAAAUCGAAAAAAAUUAAAAAUAUAUAUAUUGAUUAUUAAUUAGUUCUAUGUUGAUUGAGCUUGAACAGUUAAAUCCAUAUUUUGAGAAGAAGCUCGUUUUUAUUCUUGAAUAGUUCUUGAUUGGUGCACUUGAUUUUAAUUCAACAUUUGUUUUUCUUUCUACUUUGGUAAUUUAUCAACUCAAUCUCGAUUAUAAUCAACUUUUCUAACCUUUCUCCAUACCCUUAACCUAAGCCUCAUUACAACCUCUUAAAGACCUUUUGAUUUGUAUAUCAUAUCAUUUUAUAGUGGUGGAGAUUUGAUCUUCAUGUAAGCCUAUGACAUUUCUUAUUCAACUUUUGAGUCCAUAUUGUUGAACUUUAAACACUUUGAGUACUUGGGUGAAUCUUUAGUAAGGAUGUUAAUUCUUGUCGAUUUUAAAUUAAGGGUAAUUACAUAGAUGACGGGAGAUACAUAUGUUUUCGUGCUUUAAAAAUUUUGACUUGGAUUGUUUGGAUCUUUAGUGCUCCUUUAGUUGAAUUGGCAAUGCACAACCUUUUGCGAAUUAUUUUGAAACAUUAUUGAUGAGAAAUACAAGUUGAGAAAGAUUAAUUUUAAUAUGAGUUGAUGAUUUUGCUUGAGGACAAGCAAACGCUAAACUGUCGGGAUAUUUGAUAAAUGAUAAAACUAACAUAUUUUAAUCACAUUCUUCAUGCGUUUUUAGAUGAUUAUUUAUGCAAAUUGGUGAAUUUGAUGCUCCUAAUCCCUUUAAUUCAUGUUCUUACACUAAGGUGAGCAUUUGAGAGAAAAAAGAGAAAAAAUCAGAGAAAAACGGCAAAUUUUGUGAGCCACAUAGGCUGGGCACAUGCCCAUGUGAGACACAUAGGCUGGACACACGCCCCUGUGCCAGCCCGUGUCGAUUUCGCACCCUACUUCCCAAAUACGCAGAAAAACACAAUUUUUAGGCUUUCUGAGCAUUCUAAAGUCUAUAAAUAUCAAAUAGAAGAAGAGACAGGGGAGCCAUCAGAGCAGAUCAAAGAAAACACUCAAGGAACACCAUUAGAGCCAUCAGAUAAGAUCGAAGGAAACACUCAAAGAACACCAUUGGAGCCACUUCUGAAGCGGAUUCCUAUCAAGAUCAAAGACCUUUUAAUUUCUUCUGAAGUUUUUAUGGGUUUCUUUGUUUCUUGUGGUUUUUUUUUUUACUUUGAGAUGUUUUUAUUCAAGAUUAUGAACUAAUUCCCUAGAUACCUAGGGAGGAUGAAACCUACGACGAAUUCUAUUAUUUAAUUUAUAUUUUACAUGAUAAAUACUUGAUUCUUGUUCUCAAUUAUGUGUCUCUAUUUCUUGUUUUAAUAUUUUCAGGAUACUAAUUUAUGUUUAAUGUGCUUAAUUCAGUAGAGCAAAAGUCCCUAUUUAAGAGUAGAUCUAGCAUAAUUGAGUGGAGUUGCAUGCAAUCCUAGAAAUAGGACAACAUAAAUCUACCAAAUUAGAGUCAAAUCUAAUAGGCAAAUCCAUAGAUCUAGUUAAUGCAACAAUAGGGGUUUUAAUUAGAAAAAGGUUUCAAUUCAUCAACCUAGAGUCAGUUGUUCUUACUCUCGACAGAGAUAUUAGCAUAAUUUAGGGAUUUCUAUGGAUCAAGUCAUCAAGUGAAUAAAUCGUUUAAUUCAUAUUAAUAAUAAUAGAAGGAGUCUAGGUGGAUUGUUUUCUGGGUAUUGUCUUUCUCAUUAGUUAUCUUUCGAUUAUUUUCCUAAUUCAUUCUUUAUUGCGUUCUUAGUUAAAUUAGUUUAGUAAUUUUAGAUUAAACACUCAUCACUCCAAAUUGUCAGCUAAAUAAUAAGAUAACGGUAAUUGCUAAUAAUUUUAGUCCUUGUAGAUACGAUAUCUCUACUCCCCGUAGCUAUACUAUUGUUCGACAGGUGAGCUUGCCUUAGUCGUAAUUUUAGUUAGUACAGAAAACACACAUCAGUUAUAUUGCUUAUUCUAAUGUGUUUAAUUUGUUAACAAGCUAAUUUAUUCGUUUUACAACUUGGAAGACAAUGAAAAAUAUCAGUUUCAAGGCUUCUCACUAGGCAAAAAGUAUUAAAAAGAGCUCAGCAUGCUUCAACAACUUCUUCCCCUCCUACAAAAAUAAUUGAUGCCUCACACCAAGCACCAACUAGUGGGCCUCUUACAGCAACCACCUCAAACCAAGCACCAACAAUUAAGGCUCCUACAACUAAUAUGCCUCUUACACUGAACAAUGAAGCCUUAACCCAGCUACCAACCAUUAAACCUCCUACUCAAAGUAAGUCUCCUAUAGCAACCAAUAAAGAAAACCCAACAUCAUCUCAGCUAAUAGUUAGAUUGAGUAGAGUCCUAAAUCUAACUCCAUGAAAGACAAUCCUAAAACCAACCAUCUAGAUAUUUUAAUUAUAUGAACAAAUUCUAUGGUUGUCGUAGAUGUUUUGGUCAGAUUGAAUUUUUUUGUGCAUCAAAAUUGUUUUGGCCUCAAUUUAGAAAGCUUUUCUACAAUUCUAUUUUGUGAAUUGUUUAAUAAGAAUUUCAAGAAACAUGUGAUAAUCUAACACCCAAUGGUCAGACGGCCGACUCCUCAUGAAUUCAACUUUUAAAGUAAGUGAUGGUAAUUUAAUAUUUAAUUAAAAAAUCCAUAGGUUUUACUGUUAAAAACAUGAUAUAUGAAAUGAACUUCUAAUAAAAUUUAUCUCUUAUAAUAAUAAUAUGUCCAAUUAAUUUCAUGAAUCUAAUUACAUUUUUAAACUAGGUUUGAUAAGUUCUUAAUCAAAUACAAAAUAGAAAUUUAAACCAGGCGAUGCCCCGAUAUCUACACAUGUUACAAAAUAAAGGAUGUCAUGCUCAUACAAGGCUUUUGAGGUUACUAUCUUAGUUCAUUAAUUCCUCACGAACAACCAUUCAGAAUUACUUGAAAUGAGGAAAAGAAACAUGGUAAGUUUAAGAAGAACUUAGUGAGUUCUAAAAUAAGCUACUUCAAAUUUUAGAAUUCACCAGAGAUCUUUCUUGGCUAAAACUUAUAAGACCAUGUUCCACAACUUAUAUUUGAGCAUGAACCACAUAGUGGCGUAGUACAUUAUGCAUGAGAAUUUCCCUCUGUGGAAGAUCGUGAAGCAUAUAGUUUCUUCAUACAGAAUUGUUGCAUAAAAUCUUAAUAUAAACCUAUCAAACAGAGAUAGAGUCAUUUCGAAUAAACUUGGAGGACAAUCUUGAAGACUUUUUAAAUGCGGAUUCAUACACACGAACUCAUAAAAGAAGAUUUGUGAAUACAAAGGCUCAUUCAUGCGAAUUCAUAGAAGAAAAUUCUCAAAUAUGAUGGCCUCAAACAUGUGUACUUAUAUAUAAAGAUUCAUGAAUAUAGCAGUCCAUUCAUGCGAAAUCAUAGAAGAAACUUCCUAGAUAAAGCAGAUUUAAACAUGCAGAUUCAUAGAAAAACUUCACAAUCAUAGCAGAUUCGUACAAGCAGACUUUGUCUCGGACUUCAUAUGGCGAAAUCUCACAUAUAACUUUAACAUAAAAUUUAUUGAUUAAAUCCAAUGGACUUUCAUUUCUUUCAUAAUUUUCAUAUUUCAUGGCCAUGGACUUCCUUACACAUAUGAGGCUUAAAGCCUUAGACUCCGCAGAAUCUUAUAUGCACAUAGAACCCACAUUGGGUUAUCAUAUUCAUUUGUGCAUAUAUCUCCAUACAAUCCAAUCGAACCUCCGCAAAGUCGAAAAUCAUGCAUAUACAUUCUUUGUACUAUCCGCCCGAACCUUCGCAAAGCCAGAUAACAUGUAGCACAGAGUGCACAACAUGAUAUUUCUUCAUCUUUCAUCUGUCAAAACAACCCUCCACACUCCGCAUAUCAUUCAUAAUUAAGACAAGUAUAUAACAAGCAUUCAACUGAUCAUUUUAUCGAUGACACAACAUAUCAUACCAAACAUAACAUCUAGCGAACUAUAGUAAUGAUAACUUCAUCAAUAAUUAUUUUUCCCAGUGAAAACUUAUCAAACAAUGAACUAGAAAGUUUAAUCGAACAUACAACUGUAUAACAAUACUUUAUUUAAACCAUCCACGAUAAUUCAAAUCAUCAUCAGCAUAACAUGAAGUCAACCACAACAUGAUAACACAGUACUGAUAUAUAUAAAACAACCACAGAGAAUUUGAGUUUAGAAACUCACCAACAAAAUACAUGGGUUGACACAGCUUACACCCACUUAGCCUUCCCUUUAUCACUUGGACCUCCUCUUUCUUGGUUGGCUAAAUAUAACAGUCAUAUAAAGAUCAAAAUGAAGAUAUACAUAUGUAAGAAACCUUAACCCAUAUGCAUGCAAAAGAUUUAUAUAUGAUAUCUACGACUUAAACAUCACAUUUCAGAAUAAAUUAUACUGAAAUCCCCUAACUUUCCUUCCUUUUUCUUAAAUCGAAAGGUAUGUAAGAGUUGGAAAGAUUACCAGAUUACAAAGUUUUUAAGUAUUUAUGCUAACAUCUUAAAUUCUUCCCUUCAUGUAACUCAUUUUUUAGUUUUCCUAUCUCACAAAAUGAACCAGAGAAGAAGAAGAUAGAAAAAAGAGAAAAAAAUUAAUAUCAAAAUGAAGAGUCAUUCCUAUAUAUAAUAUUUCCACCACUACUUCACUUAAUCCCAAAUCAAUCGGUAUUAUUAUUACCCUUAAUCAUAAUGUUUCCUACUAACAGAAACUUUUAGUUCUAAUAUGACGAAACUAAAUUUAAUAUCUAACUAUUUACCCAAACAGCCCACAGGGUUCUUAUAGUUACACUAGAACCUUCUUAAAUAGAAAAUUUUCUAAUUCAGUACUCAGAAUUUUCAUAUAUCGAACCUUUAAUAUUUUCAAGUGUGACAAAUAAGAUGGAAACUUCUUUGUGAUUAUGUUUUGUGAGCUAUUUUCGUCUCAAUUUAGGAAGUUGCAUAGAAAUUUUUUGUGUUUUGCAUCAGCUUAUAACAUUCUAUAUAAUAUGGAGCAAGUUAGUGAGCAUUUAUCUUAGUGCUUCCUUUUGAUGUACUACUUGUUUGUCACAUUGGAAAAUAAAACUUUAUGUUCAUUUAUUACAUAAUUUAUGAUCAUUCAAUUUUUGAAACUUUGUAAGAAAUUUCAACAUCUCAACAGAAUUCAAAACAUGACUACCAAAUAUCAAAAGUUCCCAACUAAUUUAUUACAAUUCAUAAAAUCUUCCAAUCAAUUAUAACAUUCUAUUUACUUUCAUUACAAAUCAUGACAAUCAAAAAGAUAGAUUAGAACAUCUAAAGUAGCUUCAUGAUAAUUCGUAACAAGAUAAAUUGACACUAAUCUUAAGAACUAAAGGACAAAUUUUAUGACAAAGAAAAUAAUCCAUGACAUAAAGAAAAGCACCUUAUAAAACAAUGAUUCUUUCCUAAUCUUUGGCACAAUAAGUUUAUAUGCUCUUACCUUGUCUUUUUUAUUGUUAACUUUCUUCAACAAAUUUUGGAGUUCAUCCACGUUCAAAUUCUUCUUCAACUUAAUGUUUUCAAUAUAAAUUUCUUAAUUUCAUUCAAUAUUAUUUGAAGUUGAACUCUCAAUUUAUCAAUUACAACAUUCUAAUGUUCUCCAUCCUUUUCUAGCCAUCAAAAACAAUUCACAACAAUUCCUCUGCAUAAAAUAGAAAUCAAAUACGAAUAACUAUUUUACAAUACUAUCAUAUCAACCCAACUAACAUUUCUUCUAAAAUUCAUGUCGACUUUAACAAUUUCAAACAAAUUAACAAUUAUAAUGAUUCUGAGAUUUGCAAUAAAAUUAUAAAUAAAAUAUUCAACUCAAUUAAAAACUCGUAUAAUCAAAUUAAAAAUCAAAUAAACAAUAAAGACCUCUUUCUACUUUGACUAACCAAAAAAUUUCUUCCUUUUCCUCCAAGGCAUAUUGAAGCUACAAAUUGGUGCCCUCAAUUGAUAGUAACAAUAAACAUUGCUUAAACCAAUAGGAGAUUUUGAGCUUCUAAAUGUCUAUAUUCGUGUUUUGUUGUGGGAAAUUACAGAUUUUAGUAUCAACCCUAGGUUGAGAAGGGGAAUUUGUAAUAGAAGUUCGAGAAAGAAAGGUGUUGGGAGCUCAAAAAUUGAGCUAAGUUUUGAGAAGAAGCAAUAGAGAAAGAGUAGAAAAACCAAAAAGGAGGAAGGAAAACUAAUUUUCAUUCAACAAAUUCAUAAUUGUUUCCCCAUACACUCAUGCUAAAAAAAAAAGAAAAUACCAAGAAACUGACGGGCUCGUUCGGUUAUAAAAAACUCAUCGUUUCACUAAAAUGCUACGCCCCGUUUUACCAAUUAAUCCUUUAGGCCAAAACUCACCAUUUUAUUUUAGACUCUUCAGUUUUUUUCUACGUAAUUU
rnacentral:lncRNA from 1 species